GUUCCCCAGACAUUUAUGAGGCUAUGCUCUCCUGGAGCAUAGUGGGAGGUGGUGGAGUCUUAGAAGGAGAGGCCUAAUGGGAGCUGUCAGGGGAAAUACAGGGAGCCUUGCCCCUGCGCCCAACCCCUACAUAGGAGGUGAGUUUUGUUUUGUCCUGGGCUCCCAGCCUGACAUACUUACUGCCUUGCUUCAUGUACAAAUGCUGACCAGAGGAUUACAACGUACAGAGCUGUGAGUGAAAAUAAAUCGCAUCUCCUUAUGAGUUGAGUAUCAGGUAUUCAUUUUGGUAAUGGGAACUGACUUAACGAUUGACAUUUCUACUUAUGGUCCCUAACCUUGUGUUAUCUUCUUUGCCAAAGAACCACAGGAUUAAGAAGGGAAGGAAAGAGCAGAAAGGAAUAACUGGGAAGAAAUCACAGUGUGGCAACAUGGCGCACACGUCAAGGAGAAGUGCAGUGGGACUGGACAUCAUGCCAGCUAGGAAGAAAACAAGAACUUACACUCGGCCCGCCUCCAUGCAUCUUCAGAGCUCGAACGGUGGCUACCAGCACGACAACGUUGGGCACCAGGCCAGAAGCUCGGCAUUUGAUAUUGAAGAAUUUCUCCAUCCCAAUAUCAGCCCCAAAGCCAGCUUCAGUCACUGUACAGAAACAGAUUUAUAGCAGAACAAUUGGAAGAAUACCCCUCCUUUUCACGGCAGAUGGGACCAUUCUCAUGACUCCAUCUAUUGUGGGCAAAGUUAGAAGUGAUUUCUACUCCCCUGCAAGGAGGUCCUGAGAGGCUACUGUGAGGAGGCUGUGAAGAUAAAGCUUAAGAUGCAAAGGCGAUUCUAGGAUGCUGCAGAUGUGAGGACUACAGAGAGAAAGAGAGAUUGGGCUAAGAAGAAGAUUUCUCUUUCCCCGCUUCUUGACUGUGGAUGCAAUGCCACCCACUCCUGCUACCAGCCUUGCCCACCAUACCGUGUGGACUACAGCCUCAAACUGGGAGCCAGAAGAACUAUUUGUUUUGAUGUUGCUUUUCUCAGUAGUUUAUCACAGCAGCAGGAAAAGUAAAUCUGAAUUCUACCCUGUGUCAUCCUUAGAGCUGGCUGUUCUCGUGCUUGACCCGCCUUUACCCACCCUAUGGCACUGCAAACCAUAAAAUGUCAUUGAGUUCCUCCUGAGUGAAGUGAUAUUCGUCCCUGCAUCCCCUCCCACUAGUGAAGGUGAGGGGAAACUCAGCAGUUUCUGGAGAUAUUUUUGGUCACCACUCGUAGCAUUUAACUAAGACAUAGCAUCUUAUAAUGCUCAAAACUAAAACAAAAACAAAACAAAACAAAAACAAAACAGAACAAAACCAAAAAUAAACCCUCCACCGCACUCUAGCAGCUGGCUAUGAGUCAAGAAGAACAAAGGAACCCUGGACUCUCUAGACACUCCCUCUGAGAAUAUUACGGAUGCACCAGAGGCUAGACUACAAGGCUGCACAAACUUAGGAUGUUAAUCACCGUAACCUCAUCCACUGAGAUGCUGGGGUCUGAAUUAUCCACAUAAAAAAUUCUGCUCAGCAGAGCUUUGAUGUAUUGCAUCAAUAAUGGGGUCAGUGCAACUUGGCAAGUGGGGACAAAGGUGAGUCCGGACUUAGUAGCCUGAGGAGGAAGGAGGGAGGGGGGCACCGAUCAACAUGAGAAGGUGCAGGUGAUGGUGGUUGGGUUGUCAGCCUUCCUGCUAAAAUGUGUAUUUGCUGGAAGGCAGGCAACUAUUUAACAAACUGGGCAUGAGAAGGUGAAGGUAAAUGGAACAUUUAUUGAACAUUUCUACCUGGGCAUUUUUUCUAGUUUUAUUUUCUUGCUGCACUAAUACACUCGGAACAAGAGCAACUUGGGAAGACAAAAGGGUUUAUUUCAGCUCACAAAUACCAAGUCAUGACCCAUCACUGGAGGAAGGCAGAACAGGGACUCCCUCGAGCUGGGCCUGGGACAGAGGGCAUGGAGGAGUCAGUUGCAUUUGCUUACUGGCUCAGUCAUUGGCCAACACUCAGCAAGUUUUCUUAUAUAUCUGACUCACCUGCCUAUGUGGUGUCAGCCACAGGGGAUGGGCCCUCCUGCACCAAGACAAUGAGCACAGGGCAAUAUGAUCUGAGUAAUUCCUUCCCUCUUUCCAGAUGACCAGCAUAGCCCUCUGCUUAAAGCCCGUGAUUCGAAGGAUGGAAGGUUUCAAUAAUUGUUCUCUAUGUUACUAUGGUAUUAAGCUGGACUGAGACCCAGGCUCAACUUGCUGAUCCAUCCGACAACCAUAGACAUUUCUGUAGCUGAACUGUUUGCAACAAAAAAUCCAAGUGCCUUGUGCUUCAAGGGUAUUUCAUUCUUUGGAUUCAGAAAUCUGUUUUCUCUUAGGAGCAAUUCGUGUGCAGAUUACCCAUCUACCCUUCUAAUUGUUGGUUGCCACGCCAACAGAGGUGGGACUUGGGCAAGGAAGAGUAGAUAAGACUUUGGAUGAAUCAAGAAAGAUUUCAGAGAGGAUGCUUCAGGGACCAUGUCUGUCUGGACUUCAUUCCUAACACCAGGGGCAGGCAGGCCACACAAGCACAUCAUAGUGUUCCCUCCUUAGAACCAAGUGGUCUCCCAGAGCUACCUCCCCACUGAGCCCUUAGACCCCCCAAGACUGGUCUCCCUAAACCAGGCACCAGCUUUCUCGCCAUGGGAUGGAGAAGUGGGUGAUUCUAAUUUUCUAGCUUAGAUUGUCUUUACACCAAUGUACAGAUAGACUGGGGAAAGAAGACUGGUUUAGUUUAAAAAUUUUCUCUCUCUCUCUCUCUCUCUCUCUCUCUCUCUCCAACAGGGGAAACCCUUCUUAAAGCAAGACAGGUCUUCCUUGAGUUUUUCAUACUUGAAACACCUGAAGAUUAUCAGCAGAACUGGGAACUGAAUUUUCACCUUGUAAUGUCACUAAAAUGCCCUUUGUUCUAUAUGCACUCAGACAAUAAAAAGAAAAAUCGGUCAUGUCAGAUUUCAUAGCUACUUUAUGAUAGCGAUACAUUUUCUGUGUGAUGCAUGCAACAGACAUAUAACAUACAACAUAUUGAAUUCCCCAUUACUCCUGGACAUGAAGUUAGAUUUAUGAACUGUUAGAGAUCUCAUAGCACUAGUCCCUGUUAUCAGCUUGGCACAGGACAGAUUUGGUCGAUUCAUGCCACCACUCUUACUUUCUCACGACAAAUGAGAGACCGCAAGGGGACAUGAGUAUAGAAAGACAUGAGGCGCAUGGAGCUAGGCUUUGCUCUAAAGCAUGGUGGGUAAUAAUUUCUGUGCAGAGGUAAAGGAAAUAGAGUUGAGUCUUUCCCGGCCCCUUCUGUCCUAUGUAAAUAGUUAUUCUCUGCAGCUCCCUGCUGAUGAACUCGGGAAGAGUCAGCUCAAAGUCACCGCACGCAACACAUGCAUGCUCAAGGUGGGCUAGCCUUUGAGGAUCGUUUAGUUAUUUUCUCAGUGGCUGGAAGGAGACUAAGUAAA